UUUGCCACCUCAAUAAAGGAGAUAAGGGAGAGAGAGAGGGGCAGUGAAUCUUUUUCCUGGUCCAAUAUAGUUUGAUGGAGAUGAAAUGAAUGAAAGGCAUUAAAUGAAACACUUGCAUUCUAGAAAUUCUGAACUUGGCCACAGGGAACAGGUAUCUCAAGAUAAAAUUGAGGACAAUAAGUUGGUGAUGAUGGCACAGUAUCUGACACUCAUCUUUCUUGGCAAGCUCCAUAAAUGGAGAGGAUUUGGAGGAGGAGGAUGAGAAUUGAAUCUACCUUUGAUGGAGCAACACUGACAUGGUGGAUACUGAAACAUAUUUUGCAGUGAGGGCAGAGGACAAAUUGUGCAAAUCAUAUCCUUUCAGAAGGAUUACAAUUUUGUGGCUCACAAAGGCUUACCUUCAAUUCCCAUCAAAUGAUAAAGCAGUCACAAUGCAACUUGUGUAAGUUGAUGUAGAACACCACAAGUGGAAAGGAAAAGAUAUUGUGCUUGAGAGAAGAAGAAGAAGAAGAAGAAGAAGAAGAAGAAGAAGAAGAAGAAGUAGAAUUCCUUGAGAGAGAAUAAUAUGAAGAGGAGAUGAAACUGUAGCCUUUGUAUCUGUCAGUUUACUGCUUCCAAUCCAACAAAAGCCAGGUUGACAACUUUGGUCUUGUUUCUACUUUUCAAGCUCACUCUCCAAUUGACAGUCCCAUCUUCUUUUCCUUUAUGUUAUCCAUGUAGAAGGAUGUGCUUCCUGAGCUUUUCCCCCUGUUUCCUCAUGUGCAAAAGUUGCCAGUUUUGGUGAUGUUUUACACUGACACUUGAUAAUUAUGAGCAGUAACUAUCAUUGGAUCAAAAGAUUGAUUGAUAGGUUGAAAUCUACAAAGCAAGGAUGUGCAUCCACCCAACUUUGUUUGGGUUUCUUGAUAUGAUGGACUGCACCCUUUUUCCUAUCUGAAUAUUCCCUUUCAUUCCAGAACUCUACUCAGUUUCAGAAAAAAGGUUUGAGUCAGAUACUUGGUUGGGUUUAUGGGCAAUCAGUGCCUUCUUGUGUCUCAGAUUUGCCAUGCUUAGUUCAGUUGGGAUGUAUUUUUGGCUUCAAUAGAAAGAUCAAGCAUUCAAUUACUGUAA